AAUCCAUAGGUUAAUGAGGCGAACCGGGGGAACUGAAACAUCUAAGUACCCCGAGGAAAAGAAAUCAACCGAGAUUCCCCCAGUAGCGGCGAGCGAACGGGGAGGAGCCCAGAGCCUGAAUCAGCAUGUGUGUUAGUGGAAGCGUCUGGAAAGGCGCGCGAUACAGGGUGACAGCCCCGUACACAAAAGCGCAUGUGCUGUGAGCUCGAUGAGUAGGGCGGGACACGUGGUAUCCUGUCUGAAUAUGGGGGGACCAUCCUCCAAGGCUAAAUACUCCUGACUGACCGAUAGUGAACCAGUACCGUGAGGGAAAGGCGAAAAGAACCCCGGCGAGGGGAGUGAAAAAGAACCUGAAACCGUGUACGUACAAGCAGUGGGAGCACAGGUUUACCUGUGUGACUGCGUACCUUUUGUAUAAUGGGUCAGCGACUUAUAUUCUGUAGCAAGGUUAACCGUAUAGGGGAGCCGGAGGGAAACCGAGUCUUAACCGGGCGUUAAGUUGCAGGGUAUAGACCC
rnacentral:rRNA from 1 species